AUUGAACGCUGGCGGAAUGCUUUACACAUGCAAGUCGAACGGUAGAGGGGCAACCCUUGAGAGUGGCGAACGGGUGAGUAAUACAUCGGAACGUGCCCAGUCGUGGGGGAUAACGUAGCGAAAGUUACGCUAAUACCGCAUACGAUCUGCGGAUGAAAGCAGGGGACCGAAAGGCCUCGCGCGAUUGGAGCGGCCGAUGUCAGAUUAGGUAGUUGGUGGGGUAAAGGCCCACCAAGCCGACGAUCUGUAGCUGGUCUGAGAGGACGACCAGCCACACUGGGACUGAGACACGGCCCAGACUCCUACGGGAGGCAGCAGUGGGGAAUUUUGGACAAUGGGCGCAAGCCUGAUCCAGCCAUUCCGCGUGCAGGAUGAAGGCCUUCGGGUUGUAAACUGCUUUUGUACAGAACGAAAAGCUCUGGGUUAAUACCCUGGGGUCAUGACGGUACUGUAAGAAUAAGCACCGGCUAACUACGUGCCAGCCGCCGCCGUAA
rnacentral:rRNA from 1 species